ACGCCUCUGGUGUAAUGGCAGCAUGACUGAUUCCAAACCAGUUGGUCAGGGUUCAAAUCCUUGGGGGCGUGC
rnacentral:tRNA from 1 species